rnacentral:misc_RNA from 1 species
GUCCCGUCUGGUUGGACCAAAGAAAGCUCGUGAAAUGUGGUUUUUAACAAGGUUCUACACAGCUUCUGAAGCAGAGAAAAUGGGACUUGUGAAUACUGUUGUUCCAGUAGAUAAGUUGGAAGCAGAAACAAUAAAGUGGUGCAGAGAGAUCUUAAGAAAUAGUCCUACAGCGAUACGAGUGCUAAAAUCAGCUCUGAAUGCAGUUGAUGAUGGACAUGCUGGACUUCAGGGCCUUGGAGGAGAUGCCACUCUUCUAUUUUAUGGAACUGAAGAAGGCAAUGAAGGCAAAAAUGCAUACAACGAACGUAGACGACCAGAUUUCUCUAAGUUUCCCAGGCUACCUUGAGUGUCGUUGUUGUUG